rnacentral:rRNA from 1 species
CCUAGGGGUGGCAGCAGUGAGGAAUAUUGGUCAAUGGGCGGGAGCCUGAACCAGCCAAGCCGCGUGAAGGAAGAAGGCGCCAGGCGUCGUAAACUUCUUUUGUCGGGGAACAAAAGCCGCCACGCGUGGCGUUGUGAGUGUACCCGAAGAAAAAGCAUCGGCUAACUCCGUGCCAGUAGCCGCGGUAAUACGGAGGAGGCGAGCGUUAUCCGGCUUUAUUGGGUUUAAAGGGUGCGUAGGCGGUCCGGAAAGUCAGCGGUAAAAGCCCGGGGCUAAACCCCGGCGAGCCGUUGAAACUGGCGGUCUAGAGAUGGCGAGAGGUAUGCGGAAUGCGCGGUGCAGCGGUGAAAUGCAUAGAUAUCGCGCAGAACUCCGAUUGCGAAGGCAGUGUACCGGCGCCGGACUGACGCUGAGGCACGAAAGCGUGGGUAUCGAACAGGAUUAGAUACCCUAGUAGUC